rfam:Fukomys damarensis contig86776, whole genome shotgun sequence.
UGUGAUGUAGUUCAGUGGUACAGCACUUAUCUAGGAUAUUGAGGACCUGGGUUCAAUCCCCAGCACUGCAA